rnacentral:lncRNA from 1 species
GAGCCAACUCUGAAAUGCUGGAGGGAAAGUGAAUGUGUGAGACUUACUGAGAGAUGGUGUGUUUAUAAACAAUCGUGUUUACAAAAGCACAUAUUUCUGAGUGACUGGAGGGAUUUUCAAGGCUUAUUUGACCACAUGUGUGAUUGUUACUUUACAGGUUGAGUUUAGAACCUAACCUCAGCCUUACAGGCAGUAGGUAGCCUUGAACAAAUGUUUAGCCAGUAGUGGUAUCUUGCAGUUUUUCCUUUAUUUAAUGAAUUUGCUAAGAUAUAUCUGGCUAUAUGCUUAAAGAUUUUGCAAAAUAUUUUUUUAAAUUAUUUUGAAAUUCUUUAAAAAGAUUUGUUUAUUAAUAUUCUUUAUAGAAUACAGAGUUUUCUUCAUUGGAACAGAGGAAAUGUAAUAACUUCAUUUAUUGCUAGGGCUGUUAUUGAUUCUAAACAAUUCUAUGAUAGGCUUCUGCAAGGAAUUUCAAUCUUAUUUAUGAUUAAAGUACAUACUAAUGAACACAGUAGCAUUAUUAAUAACCAUUUUCUUUGGUUAUUCAAUUCAGGCUUUGUUUUGUGAAUCCCCCUACACACACACACACACACACACACACACACACACACACACACAUCGCUGUUGUAUAAGACGGUGGGUAUGUAGUGGGCAUUUCUCUAAUGUGCUUAAAUAAGACAGGGUUUUCUCAUACUGACUCUUACUGUUCUAGCCAAGGAGACUCUGUUUGAAGCAAGAAGGCAGGGGUACUGGAAACUGAUUUCUUGUGUCCUUGCUUUUUUCUUGUGAAGAGUCUAAAUUAGUCUAUUUAUCAUUUGAUAUUUUGAAUUCCAGAGAAACUUAGAUAACUGAAGGGAAUACCUCAGCAGAGUGUAGGCUUCUCUAUUUUGUUCUUAUUAAAUUAUCAAAGAAGGAAAUGAAUAUGAAUUAUUUAAAAUAAUCGUCCUUGGAGGUCUUGGGUACUGAGUCAUUUGAAUGGACUGGUAAGGAGGUGGCCCAUUUUGUUUGUUGAUUUCACCUUCCUGAGAGUGGCUGGCACAGACAGAGGAGAUAUUUUUCUGCUCAGACCUAACCCGAUUUCAUUAUCUUUCUGCAUUCACCGCCUGAUUUUAUUCUGUAAAGUAUGAACACCGGUCUGACUUCUCUAUAUCUUACCUUGUCAUUUAAGCAUAUGAAUUGUAUUAUGUAACAUAAAGGGGAAAAUAUGAAAACCAGUUCCUCUCAGUAAACCUUUUAAAACAUUAUUUAAAAGCCCAGCCUCCUACAAUUUCCAAAGUUCCUGGUAAUUUUUUUCAGUGGAGUUUUCAGUUUACUGAUUUUUUUUUUCACUCAGAAGGGGCUGUGAAGUCAACAAUUUUAAGGCAGUGUGGUUUAAGUGUUUUAAGUUCUGUUUCUGUUAAAUGUAUUCUAUUCAUGUUUACAAAGCAACAGAAGAAAGCUUAGAGAAUUAAGUACACAUAAAUUUAAUCACACAAGCUUGAGUAGCUAGAUUAACUUCAAAACGAUCAGUAAAUAAUAUUUUAAACUUCUACUGACCUUAUUAAAAUACACUUCCAGAAACAUUCUGUUUGAACUAUUCUUGUAAAUUAGUCAUCUUGCAAAACAGCUGUGACAAUAUGAUAUAAUGAAGAGAGCAGUGAUUUAGCAAUGAGAAGGCUGGGAGUCCUUGUCUUGGCUCAUUCACAGGGAGAUCACAUGACAUGCCAAAGUCCCCUAGAUGAGGAAGCCAUGCAUUGAGAGGAUUGAGGAUUGGGUCAAUGAUCUAUCAUAGAAUACUUUCUAUGAGUCUGUGCUUAAACUUAGAAACCUCACAAAGAACACACUGGGGAAUUUGGUGCAAGCAGGAGCUUCACCUCAUGCAGAAUUGCAGUGUGAUUUUAGAGUGCUGUUACCAUUCUUAUGCUUAGAAGGCAGAGUGUCUUCAGUUAGGAUUCUGUCGUGUUUAAUGGAUCCCACUCUCGUUGGCUUAGGCAGAAAGGUGUUAAAUGGUUUGCAGAAUUGUUGGGAAGGCUAAGCUUCCAGGAGCAGCUCCCAAAGUCUCCACACACAACUGGACCACCAGGGAACCUGCUCCCUCCACCAGGACAGGACUUGGAAACCUGCCACCGCAAUUACCAGCACCAGAAGGAUCUUGUCUCUGCUAAGUCUCUGUCGACAUAGUGAAUACCCUGUGCCCUGCCUCUCUCUCCCUGACUCAGGUCCCAUUCCAGGUCUUGCCCAAGUCUUUCUGAUUGGUGGGACUUAAAUCACACCCAAAAUUCCAGCUGCAGGAGAGCUCUGAGAUUUCAUCUUUCCAACCUCUGUGUGCUACGUGGGGGUUGGAGCACUUGCUGACAAGCCUUGCAACCACCAUUGACAGUAAGUGAGAUAUUUAUGAUCAAUAACAUUUGCAUUUUUCACAAUUUACAGUAUAGCUGUACAUUUUAUUUAGAGCUAGUAUCAAGUCACUCUACAGAUAACAAUAUUAUUUCUGACCAUUUUGGAAGAAAACAGCUUUUUUAAAAUUGAGAGCAAUAUCUACAUUAUUUCCUAAAGAGCCAAAGCUGAUAGAGAAAACAGGAUGUUGAAUUUUGAAUUUUCCUUUCAGCUUUAUCUUCUCCAUGUCAGUUCUGUUUUCUUCUGUCUUUUUUUUCCAUAGGGAUGUCCUCCACCUUUUCAAUCUGAUUUGCUCUUUGCCAUGCAGACCUGUGGAUGAAGAGCCAGAGUCCUCCAAGGUGAAGCUGGACUGAAUAUUUCUGUCCAUAAGACUAUUAGAAUCCCCCAAAGUGGGAUACCAGUGAGGACCUCACCAGCAGCUGCUGUCUCUCCAAUGCAGGUAGAUGAGCCUCAGAAAUAACCGCUGCUUGUGGUUUGCUGUGUAUUCCUCUAGAUGUUUUUCUUUACACAUAUUAGUGAGUGUGGAGAGAGAGUGUGUAUGUGUUCUGUAAAUUUGAUUACACUGCGCAUUUAUUCCGAAAUCCAUUUCACUUUACCGUUGGAACGUAAGCUCUGUGAGGGCAGAGACUUUUGUUUAUUGCACUUGCUGUUAGAGCUCUUGUCUGUAACAGUGGCUGGCACAUGGUCACAUCAUAGUAGAAGCUCAAUAAAUAUUUGUUGAAUGAAUGAAAAAAUACGUCCAAGACAUCUUCAGAUUUCAAUAUUUGGAGAAAUGAUUCAUUUUUUAAAGAAAGUUACGUAAUAUAUGGUGAUUUAUUUAGCCACUAUUCUACUGAUAGACAUUUAGGUUGUUUUGAGUUUAACUUAUUACAGAAACAAUACAGGGAAGAUCCUUGUACAAAUUUUUGAUGGUUAAAGGGGCUAUUUCUGUAUAAGGGUAUAUAUCAGGAUUCAUUUGCAAAUAUCAGAGAUCACUGUAAUUAAGCAGAAAGGAAUUUAAUCCAGGGCAUUUGGUACUAGAAGGGCUGGAGAAGGCAGUAGGCUCCACUGAGCUUCCAGGAAGGGUUCCCAGAGCAUCUCAAUGCUGACCCAUUAAAAGACCUUCUGUUUCUGCCAGAAUCAGGAAGUCUUUCUGUAGGUGCUUGCUUAGGACCACCAGUGCUGCCAAGAUAUAGGAUAAGCCUCGGGAUCACACAGGCACAGGUGCAGUCCGUACCUGCAAAACAGGCUCUGUGCCUGCCUCACACUGCCCAGAUGAUGGUGAAACAGACCCCAGAACCUCUGCUCCCCUGCCACAGAACAGCAAAUGCCUUUCCAGCCAUGCUUGCCAGGAGAAGCUGCAGACGGGCAGCCUUACACUCCCUUGCACCUUCCAGAUCCUCUAAGAGGGGGCCUCUUCGACAGAAACUAGGCCACUUGAUGAGCCAAGCUUUUAAGACUUUGGCAAAUACACCCUUCAGGCAAAUACAUCCUAGUCUCUUAUGAUUCAGUAAAUCACCCUACAAAGAGAUGAGGAUGGAGUCGAGUGAGCCUUUGCUGAGAUCUUCCACACAUUGAUUCCUAGAAAAGGAAAAUGGAGUCCUAGAGAAGGAAGUAGAUUGACCUGUCCCGGCAUGUUGAAAAACUUGAUAGACACAUUGCCCUUCAGUUUGCCCUCCCACUCACAGCAUGCAAGGUACUGUUUUCCCAGAAUUUUCACACUCUGUAAAUAAUUUUAAAGAUUAAGUAAAUGAACAAUGAUAACUUGUUUUGCUUUGUUCAUCAGUAA